rnacentral:rRNA from 1 species
UACGGAGGUGGCAAGCGUUGCUCGGAAUCACUGGGCGUAAAGGGCGCGUAGGCGGGGAGGUAAGUCGGGUGUGAAAUCCCUCGGCCCAACCGAGGAACUGCGCCCGAGACUGCUUCUCUUGAGUCCCGGAGAGGAAGAUGGAAUUCCCGGUGUAGCGGUGAAAUGUGUAGAGAUCGGGAGGAACACCGGUGGCGAAGGCGGUCUUCUGGACGGUGACUGACGCUGAGGCGCGAAAGCGUGGGGAGCAAACGGGAUUGAGAUACCCGGUGUA